rnacentral:lncRNA from 1 species
AUCACAAUUUACUGUUAAAAUAUAAUUAAUAAUGUCUACAAAACCUUCGCAAAAAAAUAAUGUCAACAAAAUGUAUUUGUGAUUAUGAAAUGUUAUUGAACAGAAAUACUCCAUAUGCCCAUAGCAUUUAUAUAUCUCGCAACUGAAUAUAUACUUUGAGACCCAUAACUGGUGAAAGUUUCAAAAAAUUGAUAUAUUUAUGAAAGGAAAGAGUACAUAUAAGCAAGGUCACACAAGAUCCCUAAUAUGGUAAAGAAGAAAACGGUGAGAAGACUAGCUAGCAAAAUGAUUAUUUUGCGUGAGUGAAGACAGCAGGCAAAAAAAAA